UCUCUAGUGGUCCAGUGGCUAAGACUCUGAACUCCUAAUGCAGAGGACCCAGGUUCCAUCCCUGGUCAAUGAA
rfam:TPA: Bos taurus chromosome 19, whole genome shotgun sequence.